GUAAGUGUGUAAGGGCGUUCGGUGGAUGCCUUGGUACCAGGAGCCGAUGAAGGACGUGGGAGGCUGCGAUAAGCCACGGGGAAGUGCCGACCAACUGUCGAUCCGUGGAUGUCCGAAUGGGGAAACCCAGCACCCGUAAUGGGGUGUUACUCCGACCUGAACGCAUAGGGUCGGUAGAGGGAACUGCGUGAACUGAAACAUCUCAGUAACGCGAGGAACGUAAAGCAAAAGCGACUCCCUGAGUAGCGGCGAGCGAAAUGGGAUCAGCCUAAACCGUACUGGUGUUAAAGCCCGAUGGCGUUGCCAGUGUGGGGUUGUGGGAACCAACCGAGGGAACAUCGGACCCUCAAGGAGUUACAAAACUGAUGACUAGUGGAAGCGUCCUGUGAACGGCGCGCCGUAGAGGGUAAGAGCCCCGUACACGAAAGUUAUCAGUCUCCUGUUGUGUCUCCCGAGUAACGCCGGAUCCGGGAAAGCCGGCGUGAAUCAGCGAGGACCACCUCGUAAGGCUAAGUACAUGCAGACGACCGAUAGUGAACUAGUACCGUGAGGGAAAGGUGAAAAGUACCCCGGGAGGGGAGUGAAAUAGUACCUGAAACCGUUGGUCUACAAACAGUCAAAGCAGACUUGUUCUGCGAUGGCGUGCCUUUUGAAGAAUGAGCCAACGAGUUACGGUGUGUGGCAAGGUUAACCCGAUGAGGGGAAGCCGGAGCGAAAGCGAGUCUGAACAGGGCGUUCAGUCGCAUGCCGUAGACCCGAAGCCGAGUGAGCUAUCCAUGGGCAGUGUGAAGCGGAGGUAAGACUCUGUGGAGGCGCGAACCGACUUCAGUUGAAAAUGGAGCGGAUGACCUGUGGAUAGGGGUGAAAGGCCAAUCAAACUCGGUGAUAGCUGGUUCUCCGCGAAAUGCAUUUAGGUGCAGCGUCGUGCGUUCAACGAUGGGGGUAGAGCACUGAAUGGGCUAGGGGUCCUACAAGACUACCGACCCCAAUCAAACUCCGAAUACCAUCGUUCCAGAGCACGGCAGUGAGACCUCGGGGGAUGAGCUUCGAGGUCGAGAGGGAAACAGCCCAGACCGCCGGCUAAGGUCCCAAAAUCUGAACUAAGUGGUAAACGAUGUGAGAUUGCGAAGACAGCCAGGAGGUUGGCUUAGAAGCAGCCAUCCUUGAAAGAGUGCGUAACAGCUCACUGGUCGAGUGAUCUUGCGCGGACAAUGUAACGGGGCUCAAGUUCAGUACCGAAGCCGCGGAUGCGACUCUUUGAGUCGUGUGGUAGCGGAGCGUCGAGCGUGCAGCGAAGCGGCGGGACAACCCAGCCGUGGAGCGCGUUCGAGUGCGAAUGUUGGCAUGAGUAGCGAAUGAGGGGUGAGAACCCCCUCCGCCGUAUGUCCAAGGGUUCCUGGGCGAGGCCAAUCCUCCCAGGGUGAGUCGGGAGCUAAGGCGAGGCCGAGAGGCGUAGUCGAUGCACAACUGGUUGAUAUUCCAGUACCACCAUGUUCGCGACCGUUCCAAUACUUUGUUGCUAAGGGGCUGUGUUGACUUCGGUUAACACGAACCGACCCACAUUGUUGCGGAAAGCUAUAGGGGGACGCAGGAAGGUAGAUGAACCCGGUGAAUGGUAGAACCGGGGUAAGCGUGUAGGAGGAGGACCAGGUAAAUCCGGGCCUCAUAAACUCUGAGACGUGAUACCGAGCCGCUUCAGGCGAAGUCAUUGAUCCUAUGCUGCCUAGAAAAGCCCAGCAGCGAGUUGACAUGGUGCCCGUACCCCAAACCAACACAGGUGGACAGGUAGAGCAUACCAAGGCGAGUGGGAUAACUAUGGUUAAGGAACUCGGCAAAUUGCCUCCGUAACUUCGGGAGAAGGAGGACCCCAGUAGCGUGAUGAGACUUGCUCUCUGAGCGUGAAGGGGUGGCACAAAAUUGAGGGAAGCGACUGUUUACCAAAAACACAGCAGCGUGCUAAGCCGUAAGGCGCUGUAUACGCUGUGACUCCUGCCCGGUGCUGGAAGGUUACGGGGAUGGGUUAGUCCUUCGGGACGAAGCUCUGAACCUAAGCCCCAGUAAACGGCGGCCGUAACUAUAACGGUCCUAAGGUAGCGAAAUUCCUUGUCGGGUAAGUUCCGACCUGC
rnacentral:rRNA from 1 species